rnacentral:lncRNA from 1 species
UAUUAUUCAGGAGAUUAUCAAUAAUAUGUCCUCUUCAAACAACUCUAAAUAUGAUAUGUUAUUGAAAAUUGACCUCCAAAAGGCUUUUGACAAGUUAGAAUGGGAUUUUAUUCAUAAAACUCUAGUUUUCUUUCACUUUCCUCCCAAAAUAACUAAGCUUAUUAUGCACUGUAUUUGCACUAGUAAUAUUGGUGUCCUUGUCAAUGGUACCAAGACAAAUUUUUUAGCCCAAGUAGAGGAAUCCGUCAAGGGGAUCCUGUCACGACCCAAUUUAGGAUUGUGACCGGCGCUUAGGAGCAAGUGCUCCCAAGUAAGCCUUAUCGGCAAUUUUACAGAAAAUCGGGCAGAGUUUCCCCUAUUUUUGGACCAUCCCAAAAAUUUUCCUGUCUCAAAUCAACAACCAAACAUCCUAAUAUCAUACCCAACAAUUGACAACUUGCCAAUUAACUAAUACAAGUCUCCACCAUAACUAAAUCACCAACUAACCACUAGAGACACUAAUCUAUCUCCAACUUUGAUAAUAAAGAACGAUACUCAGCAUAAGACUAUAAUAAAUAAAUAAUACUCAUGACACUAAAAGAAUGACUAUGGAGCGACUCUAAGAAUUUAAAGAAUAGAACAUAACAAUAAAUAAAAUCUCCGCCCACGCGAACAAGUGCGAGGCUCACCAAGAACUAUCAACCUGUGCGCUCUAAUUAACGAAAUCCUCGCCUGUGUCAACUGUUGUCUCUGAAAAAAAAAAUUAGCGAGGAAUGAGUCGCUAGCUCAGUGAGUAAUAACACUUAACUACAACCAUUUUUAUUGGGGACAAGUCAGAAAACAUGUUAGUAUCUCAAACAGAUAACAUCAAAAUGCCCUUUCAGAAACAAUAAAUAAUUUUCAGUCUCAUCAUGUUUUUUCUUGUAGUAUAAUACAAUUAAUAGUUCAGUAAUAAGCUCGAUAACCACUGUAUAAUAUCAAUAUUCACAUUUGGGAGGUUUCAAUGAACGGAUCAUGUAAUCGGUAUAAUAGUGGACUUCUUCGCAAGAAGUCAAAUAUAACGGUAGUCCCUACUCGAGGGAAGUCGGUAACGGUAUGCUAGUUCUACUUUCCCACUAGCGAGGGCUAUAACGGUAAUCUGUAAUUACAAUGUGCACCAGGUCUAACGAACCCGCCGUUAGCUAUGGAAUCCUUCAAUGUCUACUCCCAUUUAUACUUGUCUCUGUAAUCCGUAUAUACUCGUAGAAAAUAUUUUAAAAUAAUAUAGGGCAUUUCGAUUUUUAUCAAAUCAUGUAAUUUCGUUUCAAUAACAGUAAAUCUUAUCUCAAGUAACAGUAAAACGUAUUCAGUAACAAUGAGAAUAUUCAGAAUAACUGUAAUCGUCUAAAAUAAAUAUAGUAGUAUCAUAUCGAGUAAAGGACUUGUCCCACAUGCAGAUUCAAAUCAGUCGGUAACAUGCUCAUAUUAAAAUCAUAUGUAAAUCAUGCUAGUUGUAGAAAUACAAAUUGAGGUAAGGUUACUACUCACAGUACUCGUGCCGAAAUACCAAAUACUUCACCUCGUGCGAUUCGUACGAAUUCCUCCAAUUAAUCUAUAAUUACAUAAUAUCGAUCCCAUGUUAAUUUCCUCAUUUAGGCUAAAUCCAUCACAAAUGUAGAAUACCCAAAUCCUCCGAGUUUUAUAUUUCAUCAUCAAUUCGUCGGAUGUAUUUUAAUUACUUAAUUCACCUAACCUCAUUAUUCUAUUCACUGUCAAUCAUCUCAUUAUUACAAUUUAUUUGCUAAUCCUUAGUAUCCAAAUUUACAACCAGCAACAGUAGAGACAACGUGGAUUUCUGAUGCAUUCUUAAGGCCCAAAACUUAAAUCAUUAUUGCACGAUCAUAUGCCUUCCUCUUUAUUACCCAAUCACUAGGUGGCCAUUAUAUCUUAAAUUAAAGAGAUAAAAUUAUAGUAGCAAAAACUUUAUUUCAAAACAGACUACUCCAACCUUGGAAUUUCAUAUAAUUUUUGUUAAACCAUUAACUAAUUAGUUAUUAUAAUAAUUAGUAAGUUAUUUUUUCCCCCCAAUCAUUACCUAAUAAUUGUAAUACAUAAAUAAUAAUCAACAUCCCAAUUACAUAAACAAAUCACGUAUUGCGAGUUUCCAAUUUAAGUUGGCAGUGACUUUUCGUUCAACUGCUGAAAGUUGAGACUAAGAACUUUUAAAAUUUUCAAUUCCCAAUCAGCGAAAUCGCUACCCUUUAAUUAUUAAUGACAACUUGCUCCAACUUAAAUGCACAUACAAACGAAAGGAUAUUGAUAUUAAUAUACCUGAUUGCUUUGAUUUCUCUACCAAAGUUUCCGCACAGUGCCAAUUUUUCAAAGUAAAUUAACUGAUACUUUUCUGGUGUAGUGCCAACGUCUGCUCACCCUCCUUGUAACUUUUUCUAUCUUGAAACCAGGAAGUUAAUUCUUUUUCUUAUCUACUCCCUAGGUCAAAUCUGAUAGUUGCGUAAAUGGGUUUGGCCCAACUUUUUUUUUUGUUUUGUUUUUUG